CACCAGCCCCAUCCCAGCAGGAUGGGAACCGUCCCUCCUUGCCCCGCGGGGGCGGAAGGGGACGGCGACAAGCCAGGUCCAUGCUCUCCCAGCUCCGUGCUCAAAGCAGCAGCGUCCCUGCGAAGAGCAGAGCCAGGAGGACGAGGGGCACGGCCACGCCAGGGAACGUCACGCUGGUCCCACUCGAACGCCAGCUCCGUAUGGACUGGAUCUCUGACAACGCGUUCCAGAUCUGCGACUGGAGCUCUCCCACUGCCCCCGCACCUCGGUGAGGGACCUGCUGGUGACGGCCAGCGCCUCAGCGAGGGACCGGUUGGUGACGGCCAGCGCCUCGGCGAGGGACCGGUUGGUGACGGCCAGCGCCUGCCCCAGCGCGGCCACCUGCGCCUGCAGCUCCCGCUGCGCCGUCCCCAGCUGCUCCAGCCCCUCCAAGCCCCUCGGUGGCUCCCCCGAGGAGGGGAGGGCUGUCACCAGGACCACCACGGCCACCCCGAUGGCCAGGGCCACGCACAUCCUCCAGGACUGCCUGUGCCAGAGGCGGCAGCGCAGGCAGCAGCCCUCCAUCCUGCCCGUGCCGCCCUGCACUGCCAGCGCCCACCCGAGCGCGCUGGGAGGGACCUUCGGGCCCUGGUUUCGUUUCUCCAAUAACGGGAAUUUCCAGGAAAUCCUGCGGGUUUUGCAAGCGCAGCGCACGGAGGGGCACGUGGGAGGGACGCGCGGGGUGGCCGGUCGGUGGCCUUCCCGUGGAUACGGGGGCAGGGGGUGGGACGGCAGCAGGGUGUCCAGCGGGGCCGUCCAGGCACCCCGUGCCUGGGAUGGUUUGGGGGGGGGACGCUGCAGGGACCCCCCCCCCGUGCCCCAGUCCCAUGUCCUAGGGUUGGGGGCAGAGCUGGGGGGGCUGUGGGGUGUGCGGGGAGCCCCGUGCGCUCUGUGAGCGGGACCGGGGCCACAGGGCAGGGAAUCCCCCAGGGCAAGGGGGGGGACGGGGUAUGGAGAAACAAUGUGGGGUAUUUGGGUUGGGGGUCCCUGGGGUCUGGAAAAGCUGGGGUGUGGGGCACUUGGCGUAUGGGAUGCGUGGGGAUGGAGUAAUUGGGGUACAGGGUACCCAGACUGUGGGGUAUGGAGAAACUGGGGUGUGGUGUAUUUGGAAUAUGGGGUACCUGGUAUAUGGGGGGACUGAAGUGUGGGGUACACGGAUUAUAGGGUGCCUGGGAUACGGACAAAUGGAAGUAGGAGAAUUAGGGGUGUGGGGUAACGAGAUUGUGGGGCACCUGGGGUGUGGAGAAACUUGGGGUAUGAAGUACUCAGGGUACGAGGCACUCGGGGUACAGGGUGCCUGGGGUAUAGGGAAAUGGGGGUAUAGGGUACCUCCGUUAUGGGGUACCCCCGAUAUGGUGUACCCAGGGUAUGGGGUACCCGGGAUAUGGGGUACCCAGGGCAUAAAGUAACCGGGUAUGUGACCUGCUGGAGUGUGGGCAGAGGCUGGUUAUGGGGUACCUGGGGCUUGGAGGUGUCCCCAGCUCUGGGGGUCCCAGCGCAGGGGGCUGCAGCCUCCGUGGUGCCCCCACAACGCC
ensembl:lncRNA